rnacentral:rRNA from 1 species
AGUGAACGCUGGCGGUAGGCCUAACACAUGCAAGUCGAACGGCAGCACAGUAAGAGCUUGCUCUUACGGGUGGCGAGUGGCGGACGGGUGAGGAAUACAUCGGAAUCUACUUUUUCGUGGGGGAUAACGUAGGGAAACUUACGCUAAUACCGCAUACGACCUACGGGUGAAAGCAGGGGAUCUUCGGACCUUGCGCGAUUGAAUGAGCCGAUGUCGGAUUAGCUAGUUGGCGGGGUAAAGGCCCACCAAGGCGACGAUCCGUAGCUGGUCUGAGAGGAUGAUCGGCCACACUGGAACUGAGACACGGUCCAGACUCCUACGGGAGGCAGCAGUAGGGAAUAUUGGACAAUGGGCGCAAGCCUGAUCCAGCCAUACCGCGUGAGUGAAGAAGGCCUUCGGGUUGUAAAACCCUUUUGUUAGGAAAGAAAAACAGCAGGUUAAUACCCCGCUGUUCUGACGGUACCCAAAGAAUAAGCACCGGCUAACUUCGUG